rnacentral:rRNA from 1 species
UACGUAGGGGGCUAGCGUUGUCCGGAUUUAUUGGGCGUAAAGAGCGUGUAGGCGGCCAGGUAGGUCUGCUGUGAAAACUCGAGGCUUAACCUCGAGAUGUCGGUGGAAACCGUCUGGCUAGAGUCCGGAAGAGGAGAGUGGAAUUCCUGGUGUAGCGGUGAAAUGCGCAGAUAUCAGGAAGAACACCCGUGGCUAAGGCGGCUCUCUAGUACGGUACUGACGCUGAGACGCGAAAGCGUGGGGAGCGAACAGG